GUAGCAUUGGCUGAUUCCGUAAAGAAAUCUUGUUUUAAAUACUGAUCUUCUAAUAAUCUCAUGACGUGUCACAAGCUAGUUUAGAAUUUUCAGAAUAAUUUCACUUCAAAAUUCAUUGUGGUGGCUUCUUUUUCUUUCAGUUUGUCUCAUUGUUUUCUUCCUGUAGAUAUUUCCAGAGUCCAAAUGACCAUGAAGCCCACAGUUCAGCAUAUCAGUUUCCACCUUCAAGAGAGGUCACUGGUGUGGUUUGUACCAUUGUCACUGUUUCUUGCACCAACCCAGAAACCUUUGAAUACUUGAAAUUCCCCAAAAGGCAGUUCCAACAAGGACAGGUAGCACAGAAUCUAUCUGGUGAUGGGUCUUUGCGGAAAACCUCCUUUAUUAG
rnacentral:lncRNA from 1 species